GGGCGCCAUCUUGGGACUGCCGCCACACCCGCUCCCCACGUCCUUUGUGACUCUAUAGCUCAGAAUGGCUCCCUACAAUUCUCAUUAAAGCCGGGUAUAGUAGAUGCCUGGAAUUCCGGCCCCAGUCUCUCCGCUACUCUGGGAGGCUGAGGCAGGAGAAUUAUCAGAAAUUUGAAGCCAUAGUGGCACACAUUAAAAGACCAUGUCCGACUGGUGGAGUGGUUCACAAAUACCACUUCGUUAAAUGAGUGCUCUUCAUGCAUAGCCUUCCUCAUUAGGGUGGAUGCUGCAAGCGAUGCUUUGGUACCCAAGAUCGGGGCUGUUGUUCAACUCCGCUGUGUAAAUCCAAUAGCAUGUUCCAGUCUCCGCACAUAGUGCCACGCUGACACUGAGACACAGAGUGCCUAGCCAUGGUACUAACUAUGGCAGAGUACGCCAGGAGGCUCACAUGUUACCUCUUCUGAACACUGAAACCCUGGAGACCAACACCAGCUGAGCUCGCUCGCUAACAGUUCCCGAGAGCGUGCUUGCACUGGGAAAUCCCUCCAACCACGUGACAAGCCCAAAGACAAGCCAGUGUGAAGACAGGAAGGGAAGUUUCUCAUCUGGAAAACAGGAAGAGAUGGGGCUCAUCGAGGCUCAGGAGGCAGAAUCGAAGGUAGGAUCACAUCUCUGUUCUCCUGUGUGGAACUCACACUCUCCAGCCAUGUGAUGAGGACCAUUGCAAGCUGGUGACGAGUAA
rnacentral:lncRNA from 1 species